UACAGAGGGUGCAAGCGUUAAUCGGAAUUACUGGGCGUAAAGGGUGCGUAGGUGGUUGAAUAAGUUAGGUGUGAAAGCCCCGGGCUUAACCUGGGAAUGGCGCCUAAUACUGUUUAGCUAGAGUACUGUAGAGGAAGGUGGAAUUUCCGGUGUAGCGGUGAAAUGCGUAGAUAUCGGAAGGAACAUCAGUGGCGAAGGCGACUUUCUGGACAGAUACUGACACUGAGGCACGAGAGCAUGGGUAGCAAACAGG
rnacentral:rRNA from 1 species